ACAUACGACCAUAGGAAGUGGAAUACAGGGCUUCCCGUCCGCUCAGCCGUACUUAAACCACUUGCCGGCCGGCUAGUAGUUGGGUGGGUGACCACCAGCGAAUCCCGGCUGUUGUAUGUU
rnacentral:rRNA from 1 species